CCUACGAGAGGCAGCAGUGGGGGAUAUUGCACAAUGGGGGAAACCCUGAUGCAGCGACGCCGCGUGUGGGAAGACGGUCCUCUGGAUUGUAAACCACUGUCCCCAGGGACGAAGAUGACGGUACCUGGGGAGGAAGCUCCGGCUAACUACGUGCCAGCAGCCGCGGGAAUACGUAGGGAGCGAGCGUUGUCCGGAAUUACUGGGUGUAAAGGGAGCGUAGGCGGGACUGCAAGUUGGGUGUCAAAUCUACCGGCUCAACCGGUAGCCGCACUCAAAACUGCAGUUCUUGAGUGAAGUAGAGGCAGGCGGAAUUCCUAGUGUAGCGGUGAAAUGCGUAGAUAUUAGGAGGAACACCAGUGGCGAAGGCGGCCUGCUGGGCUUUUACUGACGCUGAGGCUCGAAAGUGUGGGGAGCAAACAGGAUUAGAUACCCCGGUAGUC
rnacentral:rRNA from 1 species